GGGGCUGAUGGUCUAGUGGUAUGAUUCUCGCUUAGGGUGCGAGAGGUCCCGGGUUCGACUCCCGGUUAGCCCCUUCA